GAAAGGAUGGAAGAUAAUAAAAUAAUUAACUUUUUAACCUAUGUUACAUUAUGUUACGACCCUGUUCCCAAAUACAACUGGGUACAGGUGGGAAUUCCCCAUGAAAUUCUAGCCCCAGGGGUAGGGAUGAGCCUUGGUUGCAUUCACAAAGGUGAAAAUAAGCAUCUAGGGCUACAUCCAUGGAAAAGCCUUACAGGAUGCAUAAGCAUCAAAACAGUGACAGCAAUAUAAUGAAGACGUGGCUGAGGCAGGUAUGUUAUUUCAUAUACUCACUUGUAAAACCUCCUUGUUCCAGAUGUAAUUAACAUGUUGUGAUGGAGCAUGUUUCAGAGGGAGCUGACCUGCUCAGAGACCCUUGAAAAUCUCAGCAGGAGCCUCUGGGCACCAAAACUGAUGAAAACCUGUUUCUGAAAAGCUAGUCACUCUCAAUGACCAAUUGAGAGAGUAAGCUUAAACUUUUACCAAUAUUUGUGAAAUACAUUUAGAAAGCUUAUUUAGAAAUGAGUAAGUUAUAGAUCAGUAAUUCAUACUUCUUAUAUUCCAAGUUUUUAUUACCUAAACUUACUCUUCUAAGCAUCAUUUUAUGUUUCUAGUUAAAUAUAAGUGAGAAUUGAUUGGGGUAUUUCCCAAUGGAAUUCUAUCUUUAUUUCAUCAUAAUUGCUUCAUAUUUGAAUAAUGACAGAUGAACUACUUCAUUCAAUUGCAGUUUUAAGGCUUUGAAGUCACAAUAGCAGCAAAGGAUUUAAAUCCUGAAGCCGUUAUUAUGGCAGAGAAGACAUCAGGGAAAAGGAAAACUUAUGGUAGUGUAAUUUUCUAGACAGAAAAAUACUUCUGCAGUUGCACUUUUUUUCUUUCUGUAUUUUUCUUACUUUUUUUUUCUUUUUUUUUUUCCUGGACAUUUUGUUAACGUUAAAAGGCUCCACUAAACUUCAACGAAAUGAAGUAGCUGCAACUUCUAGCAAAACAAAUGGCUUCCAUCAUCCCUGGAAGAAGACAUUGCAAACACUGAAUGAGAGUCCACGCUGGUCCAAAUGUCCCCACAAGCUUUACUGCGUUUCUUCACUUAAAGAGUUUGAGUUUUGAAAGCUAGAGCGUUAAAUAUAAUGGUUAAUAACAUACAUUUCUUUACAAGAGGCAAUCUUCAGCGCAACAGCCUGGGAAAGGUUUCACCCACUAGAGUGGGGGAUUGAAGAGUUGACCCUUCAUGAUCCAGGACCAAAGAUGUGGUUUGGUCUUCUGAGGAGCCCAGUCAAAGCAAAUACUAAGAAAACACUCCUAGCCCAUCCUGACUGGGUAAAACCCAGCAGUAAGUAAAGCAAUGGUAGUUAUAUUAGUGGGAAGGUGUGUGAUGGAGCCAUCAACCUUACUAAGAGCUCACUGGUAGGACCAUGACCCUGGGGGCGGGGGGGGUACAUAUUACACCUUUGUCAGUCUACAUCCAUAGUUUUUGCGUUUUUCUAAAUAGAUGCUAACCAACAGCUGCAAGUGUGUAGAAUGUGUACAGCUGUGGUGAGAGAGGAAGGGCAGGUAACACAGAGCAUCAGGGUAGAUGUGUGCUGCCAAGUGCACCAGAACCAUUGAGCCCAGCAGGAAUCGGCCAGAAGUUUAGAGACACUUUUCACAGCCAAAUUUAGGGUAACUGCUCAGCGUGGGGCUUGUGGAAAGCCCUGCUGAAGCCUAGGUCCAUCCGCUGGCAGUGCAGCCUGCCUUCCUCCCCACCUCAUGGCACAACUCCAUUUUUUCGAUCCACCAUCCUGCUGUGUCCAGUGUUUCAGCUUCACCCAAGUUGUGGUGAAGCGCAUUUUGAGACCUCACACACUCGGUUUCUAAAGUCUAAUGUCUGGUUAUGCUUCCUGCCAUCCUAGAUCUCAUCCUGCUUAAUAGACAGUUGUGCAAAAAUGGCUUAUGAAGAUAAUGGCAUACAUCAUGUAUAGUGGCAUGCUAAAAAAUAGUGGACCUUAACUCCAAAAUUGUUGUGAAAAUCCCAUUUGUUUUAGAGCCAUAGAAUCAUUCAUGUUGGAAAAGACCUUUAAGGUCAUCAAAUCCAACUGUAAACCUAACGCUGCCAAGUCCACCACUAUCCCAUGUCCCUAAUCAUUGUUUACACCUUCUGGUUGGAACAUAGUUCAGUGGCAGAUUAAUUUAAUGAAUUUAUAAACCUGUUUAUAGCAUCUAAGCUUUAUCUGUUGGUGGAAGAACUUGAGUGAGAUAAGAUGAACUCCUGGACUAAAGCAGGAGUGACAAGUACACUGAAUUUUGGAAGGAAAUUUCUCUCAUCUUGUCGGAUUUAAUUAAUAAAUCAAAGACUAAUGCUCUGUAACAGAUAUGAAGGAAGGAUAAUGCUAUGGGUCAAUUUUUGGAACAUCCUAAAUUCUGUGGAAGUCGGGACAUAACAUAUGACUGCUUUAUUUUCAUUAGUAUUCUUAUCUUAUUCAAACUUUCUUGCCCUAACUGGAUAUUAAAACUGAAGUGAUAAAAUACCAUAAAAAAUAUGAAUCACCAAAAUUACAUGCUAAAGUCUGCUUUCCUGACAUUUUUGAGAAUGAAUAUUGAAAUGCUUACAAAAAGAAGAUCUUGAAGUUCCUCCAUCAGUAAUCAGACCCAGACUUUACUUGGAAAAAGUUCUUUAUAUUUAGUUAUGAAAAGCAUGCUCUUAAUUAUAAUGAUGUUCAUUAAAACAAAUGCCUUGAAAGACUACUAUUUUCAAUUCAAAGGCUCUUCAAAAAACAUGUGAAAAAACCCCAUAAUCUAUAAUAAAUCUAUCCUGGAAAGAUAUUAGACAGAAAAUCAUACCAAUUGGAUAUAUAUGUUAUAUAUGUGCAUCUGUAUGUGUGUAUAUGUGUGCUGCUCUUCAGAGAAUCAAGGGGUUUGGUUUGUCGUCUUUUUUUUUUUUUCCACAUUUAUAGAAAGUGUAAGAAGUGGUUUAAUUUGAUGAAAUCAAACAUUCAAUGAAAACAAAGGCGUUAGCUCUGAAAUAAGACAUCAGUUUUACAGGGCUAUAGAUCCUUUGAACUUGGAUGACAUUGUCUCUGAGGACAAGAUGUUUGAUGAAUUUUAGACUUUAAAGCCUUUAGUAGGAAAAAUUAGUCCAGAAUCUGUUCUUGUAGAAUGGAAAAAAAAUUAAAAUAAAUCAUUCACUCUUCAAAAGAUCAGGAAAGAAAUUAUGUCAUUUUCUAUUUCCCUUAAGUACCUUUCCUUCAGACGCUUAUGUUGGAAGAGUCUCAACAGCCAUGAAUUUAGGGGCUUAUUAUGCUCCCAGUGACCUGGGCAUUUAUGUCCUUUCUGCAUAGAAUAUUGAGGAAAAAAUUCUACAGACCCUUAGUAUAUAAGGAUAAAGGGCUCUGUGGGUAAGAUGGUCUUACAAAACAUCAUUAAUUUUAGUCUAUUAAUUUAAUAUAAUCCACGUAAUGAUUUGUGUAAAAUUACUUUACCCCUGUUAUCUGCCAAAUCUGUUAGGAACAGCUGCUUUGCAUUCCAUAUAUCAUAAUGACAUACACUGUGGAGUUACAAUGUUUAAAUUUUUUUUCAUUAAGGUCCUAUUUUAGAUUUGCAAGCUUAUGCAUGAGAGGAGAGGGGCUGGUGCUUCCAUCACACUGUUGCUGUUAAAAGUUAUCAAAAAGAACUUUUGGCUCUGCGAAGAAAUGAGUAAUGAGUGCAAGUUGGUUUUGCAGACCCUGUUCCAAGGGAAGAAGAAACCAGGAUUAACAAGUCUCAUGGAGAAUGUUUUUCCCAACAGGCCUAAUGCUAACACUUUUUUGCUCAGGAGAACUAGAAGGGUCACGAUAACUGAAGCUUGAGAUAAAAGUGAAUUGAUAACACGGGUGGGGAAGCGGACUGAAGGGACUGUCUUUAAAUGAACCUUUAUAAACACACAGAGGCUGCAGCAGAGAUGUUCUGCUGACACUCCUGUCCAGGUGCAUGGCCAAGGAGUGGCGGAUGCUACCUACAUCUUAAACUCCCUCUCUCACUCUUCCCUAAAUCCAAAAUACUCCUAAAACCUUAAAAAUAUUCCCUAACCCUAAAUACCACUUCCUUUUGAACUGCUAAUGACACACUUUGCCCUACUGCAGAGCUUGUCUGGACUAACAGAAACGAUCUGGACAAAUACUUUUUGACACUUCAGAGGUAUAGGAAGAAAUUAGCACUGUAAUACUUUUGCUAAACAUCCCCUCCUACAUCAUGCAAGAGCAAAGAUGUAAAAUGUGACACUAGACACCUGCUGUUGUAGCGUAAAGGUAAUUCUUCUCAGAUAACCUACAUAGGUAGCUGCAGCACCAGAACUGCGCACCUGCUUUAGCAGUGUCCCUGUGAAGUUUGGCAGAUAUAGAGUAACAAGGGGCUCAAAAAAGCAAGAUUACGAGCAAGAACCAGAGGAAAGAGGAGGACAGAGUGGUCUUGAGAAACAAGGGAAAAGGAAGUAUGUGACAUCAGAGGCCACAGACUAUAGAGAUUAGAAGGAACUGAAAAACUGGAACAACUUCAAAAGCAAUAGAAUGAGGGCCAUGAAUUUUCUAAUUUUGCCUGCUUGAGGUAAGCCGAAAUUACAUGUGUUUGGGCAGAUGUGUUGGAGUGGUCUGAGUAAAGACCUCAUUUUUUGUAGGUGGCUGCUGGAAAGAAGUCUUCCAAGAAGUGAAACAGUCAGUGUAUCUAACACUUAGCCUGGUGAUGGUUAGUUGCACUGGUGAUGCAUUUCUUUUCUUCUUUUUUUUUUCCCCCCUCCCCCAAAUCUGCAUACCCCCAUUCACCAGUAACAUUUCCUGACAUCUCCCAGAUCACAUGAUAACGUACAAUAGCAGUUGCCUGUCAGGAGGAGGGAGCUGGGGAAAACGGCCAUGGAGUACAGCCAUGCACAAAAAUUAGGAGUAUCCUUGUAUAACAUGGGCAAAUAAAAUCAUAGGAAGCAAUUGGAAAUGACAUACUGAAUUAUUUAAUUCUGCUAACUGCUUCAGAUCCCUCUGUACUCAGCCCUGGUGAGGCUGCACUUCAAAUGCUAUGUUCAGGUUUGGGCCCCUCACUACAAGAAGGACGUAGAGGUGCUGGAGCGUGUCCAGAGAAGGUCAACAAAGCUGGGGAAGGGACUGGAGCACAAGUCUUAUGAGGAGAAGCUGAGGGAACUGGGGGUGUUUAGCCUGGAGAAAAGGAGACUCAGGGGGUACUUAUCACUCUCUGCAGCUGCCUGCAAGGAGGUUGUAGCAAGGUGGGGGUCAGUCUCUUCUCCCAGGCAGCAAGCAACAGAACAAGAGGAAACAGCCUCAGGUUCCACCAGGUGAGAUUUAGAUUAGAUAUUAGGAAAAAUUUCUUCACCAAAAGGGUUGUCCAGCAUUGGAACAGGCUGCCCAGGGAUGUGGUUGAGUCCCCAUCCCUGCAGAUAUUCAAAAUACAUGUAAAUGUGGUGCUUAGGGACACAGUUUAGUAGUGGAGUUGGCAGCACUAGGCUAACAGUUGGACUCGAUGACCCUAAAGGUCUUUUCCAACCUAAAUGACUCUGAUUCCAAGUCUUUGAUAAACUGAUCUAUUUUUUGUUUCCCAGUCUGUUUCAGGCAGCAUUGUCUCCCCUGAAAUCUUCUGGACACAGGAGAGGACAACCACCUGUCUGCAGAGGAGUUUUACUCCCUGCGUCUGACUUGUUGCUGUUGACUCGCUGCUGCUGGCACAACUGCCCAGGCUGCUCUGACUGACUGCGAUGGCAGCGUGGGAGGGAGCCGAAUGAGAGCAGACCUACCUACCAUGUGGAUAAAAUAUAUACUGGGAAGAGACAAGCAAUGACUUCAGCAAUUCUUAUUGCCGCUAGAUUUGAUGGGGGCCACAUUAAUUUUGUGAAUGCUUUGCCUUGCCGUAUGCUUGCAUUUGUCUUUUUUGUGAACGUGGAAUUUGAUACUGUAGAAAUGAGCUUCCUCUUCCUCAAAGGCUGAAGCAAAAGAAGAGAAUGUCCCAUAACAUCUCAGCUCUCUUCUACAUUAACCUGCCGCAUGAGAUUUUACAGCGCUUGGUACUUUCCCCACCAUUAUUCACCAUGCAGCUGAAGGUUUUUUAAUAGAGGUAGAAACAACACCAUCAGUUUUACGCUAAGGACAGUCCAGCCACUUCAUACUUCCUUUACUGUGAAAGCAUCAACCAUUUUUGGAACAUCUCCAGUCAACUAGCUAUUGGCGUGGAGACUUUGGGUCAUACCUGAAGCCAGUGGUGAACACCAGGGAGAAGAGAAAGGCUUUGGAGAGGAUCUUGCUCGCACCACUUUGUAGCUAACUGGAACAUGGGGGCAUAGAUGAAGAUAUUGUCGCCCAAAGUGCAUGACUCAUUUGUCUUUUUAAGGUCCAUUAUUGUGUGAUGUAAACCCACCUUUUUGGCAGUUUUGGUAUUGUAGUACUUUUAGCACUCAGAGGCCUAACACUCCAGAAAAUGCAUUUACACUGCAUUUAAAGCUUGCAUGUAGCUACAUCCUGUCAAGGAAAGUCUUUACAUAAUGCAUCAACAUAUGCUGAGUUUUGUCUCUUUUUUAGUACAGUAUAGCUAUACAAUGGGUUGGAGUGGCAUUUCUAAGUUAUUCAAAACAGCCCUAGGCAAGGCUGGGCUUUAAAAUGUGUCAAGACCCUUAAAACACCUGGAAUAGAGAGAGAAAAGGACCGCUUUAUAUUUGUGUAGAACUUUCUUACCUACCAGGUUUCAUUAACUUCAGCAUCCUAUUUUUUUCUUUGAAACAGUGAAAAAUUGCAUUAGGCAGGCUUGAAAAAUAGAGUGUAAAAAUAAAGUAAUAUGUUAGUUUCUUAACUAUGAAUAUUUCUAAAUCCAAACGUCAUUAUAAGGCAAAAUGAUCUUUAUUAGGAAGCGAAGGUUCAGAGAAUUCUAUCCUAAACUUCUCUUCUGCUUUGCAAAGUAGGUCUGUUAUCAAAACUUUAGCAACCCAGCUAUUAAGAGAUGUUUUAAUGCAAGAUCAUUUGUCUCCUAAAAUUUGAAUGUUGUGGGUUUUAGACCUCGAGUCACAGCGCAUAUGUUCCUUCCAUAUAGCCAACAUUAAACUGCUGGGUAAUCUCUAAAGAUCUAUUUUCUACCACCUGUGACAAUUUUUAAAAAACAUCUUUUGCACUUUUAAGGCUGCGGUAAGUAAAAUGGAUUGUUUAGAGGAAAAAUCAGCUCAGAGUAAAAGGUUUUGGAAGACGAUACCAGAAUGUUUAUAAUGCAUGUUAUGGUUGAGAGGAUUGUGUGAAUUUAGCCAUUACUGUAUAUUUACAUUGACAUUUACAUACAGGCUCCUACAUAGUAAGCAUUUAUUGCCCAAGCAGGUAAUAUUAGGGACUGCUGUUAACUUGGAAUAUAAACUAUUGGAGCCAUUACAUGGCCACGUGCAUGGCCUUCUCAAUACAUAAGAAUGUGCUCCUAGAAAUGCUUUUGCUGGAUUAAAUAUUCAAAGCCCUUAUAGCAAAAAAAAAUAAUGGCUACUAAAUGGACACCAGCUCUCAGAGCAAAAAAUUGCCAUGAGCGAGCUUAUGAAUUACUGUCCAUAUAGGCAUAACUCUUAUCCUGUUUAAUUUAAAUAUUUUAAACCAUACCACAAAUAUGAAAAAUACCAUUUCUCUGGUGAAGAACGUGGGAAAUAAUACAUUAUUUCUCCAUUAUCACAUAGUCUACUCAUUUCCUAGGGUUUUUCCCAGUGAACUGCAAAGUUUUGGAACUUUAUGCAUUUUCAUUAAUAAAUUAUUUUAUUCUGGAACCAGCCA